rfam:Macaca mulatta chromosome 3, whole genome shotgun sequence.
GCUCCUGCAUGCGUUUAACACCAGCACACUCAGUAUAGUCUUGUAAGGAGCAGGCUGAAGUGUGCUGUGGUGUGUCUGGAGGAGUG